UACGGGGGGGGCAAGCGUUACUCGGAAUUACUGGGCGUAAAGCGUGCGUAGGUGGUUCGUUAAGUCUGAUGUGAAAGCCCUGGGCUCAACCUGGGAAUUGCAUUGGAUACUGGCGGGCUAGAGUACGGUAGAGGGUGGCGGAAUUCCUGGUGUAGCAGUGAAAUGCGUAGAUAUCAGGAGGAACAUCCGUGGCGAAGGCGGCCACCUGGACCAGUACUGACACUGAGGCACGAAAGCGUGGGGAGCAAACAGG
rnacentral:rRNA from 1 species